GUAGGAAUGAAGCUCGUCUGCUGCAAGGAUCUUCUGAAAGAAUUGCCUUUGGUCCAGUUCAUUGUGUGUCAAACACCAUGAAUGGGAGCAGACUCCCAAGGCUCCCUGGGAGUGCACACACAGCUUGGCAUGCACAGAGACGGGUGAUAGCUGACUCUUGGACUCCUGCUUUCUGCUGUUUGUUUUGCCUUUGUGUUUUACAGACGGUGCGGGCGCCAUCUGUAGCCAUCUCUUGGCUGGCAAGUCUUUCCCAUUCCAAGGAAGUAAGAUUCCGAAUGUGACCGAGAGAAAAACACCAGACCCAACAAUCCUGAGAGGAGAUAAAGAUGAGAGCCACUGUCUCAGACUGACAUUUGGUGAUUACUGACGGUCCUGCAGCCUGGUCCCUAGGACAAGCCUGUCUGGACCAAGAGAUGCCUCCUUUAUUCUCAAAGAGCUGCAUCACUACUAUGUUCUAAGAGAGAUUGACAUCAGACCUGGAUCCUAUGGAAGGCCAUGAUUGUAUUGCACUGAUAUCAACACCUAUGGAUUAGUGCUGUGUAUCCACCGCUGUCUACACACUCCACGGGCCUCCAGCACAAGGCUCUGAGUUUGUGGUACAUAGUAGACUAAGUGGGAUGAAGGUCUGAGAUCAUUGCCCGGGGAGGUUUUUCACAGUUCUUGUAAAAUCAGACUGAAAUGAGAUUGGAGAGCUGUCCCCUGAUUCCAUUUCCCAUCACAGGAAGGGUGCUGCUCAGCCAGCCCAUUCCAAGAGCUGAUGCUAAUGUCAGGGCUCAGCUUCUGGUCCACUCAGAGAAGAGCUGCAGAUGGGUUCAUUAGGUGGGACACAAGUUUUCCCAUUCUAGCCUCAUUUGUCUGUAGAUGUGUGGACAGGAGCUUGGUUAGCUCAGUGGAAGGGAUAACCAACUCCCUUCCCCCAUUCCCUGGAGCCAAGAACAUUAAUCCCAAAGAGCAAAUAAAAUCCAAUAAGCCUCCUCCUUCAGCUCUAAUGCAAUCAAAUGGUAAGCAGUAGGCAGGGCAGGGCAAUGCUGGCUGCUAGCUUGUGCCAGGCUUCUGUUCUGACAGGCUACAUCUUUUCAUCACUGUCUUAGGGACCCGCUGGCUUUCCAAAGAUGCAUGACCAGAAUUAAAUCCACAUACAUAAUUGAUGUACAUUAUUAUGUACCAUGACAUUUAUUAAUCCCUUAAGAAAGAUGCUAAUGAAAUCUCAUUGUCCUUAUUAGAUGCUUUGCUCUCUUACAAAGGGAGGCAGGUCUAAAAUGUGCAGGUGUGAUUUAAAUAGCUCUUGACCUAUAACACGUGCUUGCCCGAUGACAAAGAGGCAGAACGCUGGAAGAGCCGAAUCUGUGUUUCUGUUUCAGUGUGUGCUGCAUGCUAACUUGUGGCUCUUUGUCUAAGGAUUAAUGAAACAAGACUGAGGGUGUUUGCUUUCUAAAGGCAACGGUAAAAAGAGACGCCUUCAUGUGAAAAUGUUAGCCACCUAUCCUAAUGUGCGAUAAUGUUAAGGAUGGCAUCUUUAUUUGUAUCCAUUUAUCACAGUUCCUGAGUUUCAGGGACAUUAAAUAAAUUGGAAUUGUCAUUUCUAUCCCUAAAAUCUAGCCUGAAAAUCAAAGGUUUAUUAUGAUUAAUCUUAGAAUGUGGUUGUAAUUACUCAACAUCAAAAACAUUGUGGCUCAGAGGAAGUAUGACUCCUAACAUUUGGUGUCAUGAAGGCCACAAAUCAAAAAGAUGGAUUAUCUACCAUUUUCCUGGUUAUUUCAAAGUUGUAAAGCAUAAACUAGCAAGCCUGGAAGAUACUGGUGUCCUGUUUCAUAGCAGGUUCUGCAGAAAGGCAUGCCACCUUUCAGAGACUGUGAGGUACCUGUCAGUCAACCACCAGAGCUGCAUCCUACAAUUCCUUGAGAAACGUGGGAUUAUUGUACCUCUUAGAAACAUAGUCAAAGUAUGCUUCAGGUCCUAGAUAGUUGCUACUGCAAAGCAGAGUGGAGAUUUGCAGUUUCCUGUGAGCCAGGACUGUACAUACCCGCUUCUUGCUCACAGGAGGUUUAGUCCACUCUUACCUUUGCAUUCUGUUAUUAGCACAGGAACUAGAACCCCCGUACACAAAACUUUCAGGCUGAAAUGUAGAGAGAAAACCAAUUUUUUUUCUUCAUUUCUGCUAAAACAUCCCCUUUAUUGUCUUAGACUUUGGGAAGUCAUAGUUGACUGUAGCUGAUGUAUAAGGACAGUGAGUUUGAUUUUUUAGACCCCCCCCCCUUUAUUCCUCCAAGGCACGGAAGGGUAUUCUUUCUAGAAUUAGCAGAGGGUCACUUGAAAUGAACAUCCCAGGAGCAGGGCAACUUGGGGCCAAGGAAGACAGGAAGGUGCUGGCCUCUGGCAUUUGUGACAGCAGCAUGUGUUUAGGCCAGGAGAAACUAACACACCUUCCUAUUUGCAGAUAAUGUCAAAUUGAGUGACUCAGUAAAAUGAAAAGCAGUUUGCUUCCUCUGCUCUCCCUCUACUCCAGGAGGCCCCCAAAGUUCUCUUUUUCAAGAAGAAAGAAAGACAAUCUUUUGAGGACUAAGACUGCACAGAAGUACAAACAUCAGAGUGUUGGGAAGUGGAGUUGAGGUUGGAAGGGAAAGCGUGCUUUUCCCAGGAACUGAGGUCUGUCCGGCACACAGGACAUGAGGACAGGAACAGUUUACAGUAAGUGUACUGAGCGAUCCCCUCUAGUUUCCUUCCUAAAUGCUCAACACAAGAAGGCAUUCAAAUCUCAGAACAUUGGCUUAGGCUCUGAAGACAGAAUUUCAACACCUGAGACUGAGUUUGAAGCCUCAGUGGGUCACCACAAAAACACAAACAUCACAAAACCAACUACCUUGGAUGCCAUCAAGGAGUAGGAUCAAGAGGUGGACUAGUAGGGCUUUGGGGACAUAAAGGUGUGUUUCUCCCCACACCAAAAUUUUCUCUGACUCUAAAUCAACUUAUUCAUUUUCAGAUUGGAAUAAGAGUCUAUUAAGUUAGGGGGUACUGACAGAAGAUUUACAUUUCAGCAAAGAAUUCUGUGAUGUCUCUAAUGACAUUUUUAUGGUCAGGCUAGAUAUAUGCAGACUUGCAAAAGUAUAAGUAGUAUUUCAAAAGUAUGUGUAUUAGAAGAUGAACAGUGGGUAGAAUUUGUUUGAUGGAUGGGAAUUGACUCCAGUGGGGGAAUUUUGGUGAUAUAAAUCUAAAACUACAUUUAAUUAUUGGUUUGGAUAAAAAUUGUGCUAAUUUUGUCAACUUGUAACCAGCCAGAGUCAUCAGAGAAGAAGGCGCCUCAACUGAGAAAAUGCUUCCACAAGACUGGGUGGGCUGUAGGCAAGCCUGUAGAGCAUUUUCUUAAUUAGUG